rnacentral:lncRNA from 1 species
UAAGUCUCAAAAAUGAGCGCACGAAUUUCAAGAUUGGUUUGCUCAAACGAGCCACCAUCUUGCGGGGGCAUGUUAAGGGAAUAUAAUCCCACAUCGGUAAAAUACCGAAAUAAUGACCAAUAUAUAAAGGAUUGGGACACUCCUCUUAACAAGGUUGACCUUAUUAAGACGGACCCCAAGUCUUAAAAUGGUAUCAGAGCCCAUUAAGCUCCAACGAGCGAUUCGAUCCGAU